UUAACCUUUGGCCCAAUCCAUUUUAUUGUUUAAUUUCUAAUUUUUCUAACUUUUGGCCCAACAAUCAACUACCCAAGUCCAACUAAAUAACUAAUAAGUAAAAUAACCUACUCUUCAAUCUUGAAUCCCACUCCCACCUUCUCUAACUCUCUGUGCCGGCCGUUCCCUUCAGCUCUAGCAUCAAGAGAUUGGUUUUCUUUGACAAGAGAUUGUACCCACGACAGAUCGGGCUCCUCUUCCUCGUUAUUGGGUUCAACGGGGGUUGAUUGCUUCAAUUGAGAUUAUGCAAUUGCUUUAUUGCGAUUUUAUACCUCAAUUUCAAUGAAGCUAUAUGAGUUUCUACUGCUCGGGUUAUCUAGUACGUGGCUGUCAUUAAGAAGAAAUAUGGUCAAGAUGCCACCAAUGUAUGGGAUGAGGGUGGAUUUUCUCCUAACAUUCAGGAUUUAAUCAAGUUUCUUCUUAAGGUGACCAAUUCUGGAUGCCUAAAUGGGAGACAAAAAGCAGCCUAAUGAGAGGUCAGAAAUAUGGAAUCAUUUCACUAAGAUACUUGGGGGAGAAAGAGCAAAAUGUAAUUACUGUGGGAAAACAUUUAAGGCUGACACUAAUAGUGGAACUUCUAGCAUGUGGAAGCAUUUAAAAAUUUGUUAUGCAUAUAAGAACACUAAAAUUGAUGAAAACCAACCACUUGUUAUUUACAUGUUAUUAAAUUUGACUAUGUUAAUUUGUAAAACUAUGAUUGAAUGUGUCAUUAGUUGUAUUUAUAUGGUGUUUUUAUAAAUAUUAAAAAAUUUAAUUAUAGUAUG